CAGGACCUGAGCACAAGGCAGAAGCUCAACCACUCACUGAUCCACCCAGGCGUCCCUCUAGACUCGCUAAAUGUUUGCUGAAUGACAAGCUGCCGGCAGGAUACCUGUUCCUUCUCGUGUGCGGUCUGGAUGUGGACGGAGAUCGGAGAAGCCCGAAUAUCAUCCGACAGUGGCUGGGGGAAGUGGAUCACCUGGAGGAGGGUCUCGAUGCACCGAGCCUUGGGCUGUCCAGAGAACCGCUGUGGAAGAAGUGGGAAGGUACACAGAUAUCUUUUCUGAGAUCUUCCACAGAAUGGUUUUGGGCAUAUCAGAACUUUCCUUCUGCUCUCCAGGUACCUGAUACAAGGAGUGAAAGUCCUGGGAUUCGUUCCAUGCAACCAAAGGCCCCUCGGGAGCAAAGAUAGUGUCUUAUUCUGCUCCAGAGCCCUAAUCUUUUUGAUAAUGGCUGAUACAUGGUUACUGAUCAAUACAUGUUUGUUGAGAAUUAAUUCAAUUUAACAAUUAUAACAACCUAAUGAAAUAGGAUUUUCUAUCCUCAUUUUUACAUAUGUGGAAAUUAGAGGUUAGAAAUAAAGUAACUUGAGGGCCUGGGUGGCUCAUCAGUUAAG